GCAGCCCCUGCGGUAAUUCCAGCUCCAAUAGCGUAUAUUUAAGUUGCUGCAGUUAAAAAGCUCGUAGUUGGAUUUCGGGCGGGGCCUGCCGGUCCGCCGUUUCGGUGUGCACUGGCCGGGCCCGCCUUGUUGCCGGGGACGGGCUCCUGGGCUUCACUGUCCGGGACUCGGAGUCGGCGCUGUUACUUUGAGUAAAUUAGAGUGUUCAAAGCAGGCCUACGCUCUGAAUACAUUAGCAUGGAAUAACACGAUAGGACUCUGGCCUAUCCUGUUGGUCUGUAGGACCGGAGUAAUGAUUAAGAGGGACAGUCGGGGGCAUUCGUAUUUAGAUGUCAGAGGUGAAAUUCUUGGAUUUUCGAAAGACGAACUACUGCGAAAGCAUUUGCCAAGGAUGUUUUCAUUAAUCAAG
rnacentral:rRNA from 1 species